GAUGAACGCUGGCGGCGUGCUUAACACAUGCAAGUCGAGCGAAGCACUUAAGUUUGAUUCUUCGGAUGAAGACUUUUGUGACUGAGCGGCGGACGGGUGAGUAACGCGUGGGUAACCUGCCUCAUACAGGGGGAUAACAGUUAGAAAUGACUGCUAAUACCGCAUAAGACCACAGGGUCGCAUGACCCGGUGGUAAAAACUCCGGUGGUAUGAGAUGGACCCGCGUCUGAUUAGCUAGUUGGUGGGGUAACGGCUCACCAAGGCGACGAUCAGUAGCCGACCUGAGAGGUUGAACGGCCACAUUGGGACUGAGAUACGGCCCAG
rnacentral:rRNA from 1 species